rnacentral:rRNA from 1 species
UUGAAUUUUUAAAUUGUUAUAAUUUAUUUUUUGACGGUUAAUWURCCUUUUGCAUCAUGYUUUUCGGAUGUAAACUCUUAAUAAAUGAAUUUAUCGAAAUAUGUAGAUCUUUUAUAGUAUUGGCUAGAUUAAAUAACUAGGUAAGUUACGUCUAGAUACUAUAUGAGUUGUGAAAAGUAAGUCGUUACAUAUAAUAACUUUUUGGUGACAGUUUAUUUCUUUCUAACAUUUUGGCUAUGAGGUCAAGGUGUUUUGUAAAUGAUGAUAUAUUUAUGUUAGGAAAGGGUUAAAAUUACCUUAUUCUUAAAAAAGUGUUAAAAUUUUUUGGAUAUGUCGCUGUUCAUUACUAACUAAAUGUCACCUGUCAAAAAAUAUGCACCCAUAUAUCGUUAAAUAAGUAUUAUAAAUAGAACUAUUAUAUCUCGUAAACUUCCUGUCUGUUUAUUAAAAACAUUUCCAUUACUAAAAUUUUAUGGUAUUACCUGCUCUAUGUUAUAAAUAAAUGGCCGCAGUAUAUUGACUGUGCGAAGGUAGCAUAAUUAAUUGCCUUAUAAUUGAAGGCUUGUUUGAAUGGUUUGACAAGGGAGUGAUUAAUAUUAGCUUUGUUUUAGAAAUUACUAUGGAGUGCACAGAAGCAUCCUAGAUUAAUUAGACGGAAAGACCCCAGGAUCUUUUAUUUUUGCUUGGGGCAAGUAUAAAUAUUUCAUUAUUUAUUGUGACCCUAUAUAAGUUUAUUGAGUUAAGUUACCCUGGGGAUAACAGUGUAAUAGCUAAUUAGAGGCCUUAUCGAAUUAGUUGAUUGCUACCUCGAUGUUGACUUAGAUAUAUGUAUUCGGCGCAGUUGUUGAAUACUUUGGUCUGUUCGACCAGAUAUAUCUCCAUGAGUUGAGUUAAGACCGGCGUGAGCCAGGUCGGUUCUUAUCUAUU